GCACCCGUAGCUCAGCUGGAUAGAGCGUUUGACUACGAAUCAAAAGGUCGCACGUUCGAGUCGUGCCGGGUGCACCA
rnacentral:tRNA from 2 species